rnacentral:rRNA from 1 species
UAGGGAAUCUUCCGCAAUGGACGCAAGUCUGACGGAGCAACGCCGCGUGAGUGAAGAAGGUUUUCGGAUCGUAAAACUCUGUUGUUAGAGAAGAACAAGUGCUAGAGUAACUGUUAGCGCCUUGACGGUAUCUAACCAGAAAGCCACGGCUAACUACGUGCCAGCAGCCGCGGUAAUACGUAGGUGGCAAGCGUUGUCCGGAUUUAUUGGGCGUAAAGCGAGCGCAGGCGGUUCCUUAAGUCUGAUGUGAAAGCCCCCGGCUCAACCGGGGAGGGUCAUUGGAAACUGGGGAACUUGAGUGCAGAAGAGGAGAGUGGAAUUCCAUGUGUAGCGGUGAAAUGCGUAGAUAUAUGGAGGAACACCAGUGGCGAAGGCGACUCUCUGGUCUGUAACUGACGCUGAGGCUCGAAAGCGUGGGUAGCAAACAGGAUUAGAUACCCUGGUAGUCCACGCCGUAAACGAUGAGUGCUAGGUGUUAGACCCUUUCCGGGGUUUAGUGCCGCAGCUAACGCAUUAAGCACUCCGCCUGGGGAGUACGACCGCAAGGUUG